rnacentral:misc_RNA from 1 species
GUAGGUGAACCUGCGGAAGGAUCAUUAACACGUAUCCAACGUUAAACAACCCUGUGAACCUUGAACGUGCUCUCGUACACGCUCUAGCAGCAAUCCCUGGUAAAUCAUUGUUGACCAGCUAUUGAGUCUGGGACUUCUGCUAGAAAACCAUACGAUACGAGCGCCAGAGUAAGUGCGGCCUGGCAUCCUAGCAAUCUGUCAGUGGUUGCGCAAGGAUGGCGCAGUAAACGAUCGCUGUAGGCCCACACGGCCGGCGACCGGGCCUCUGUGCUUCGACACCUAAUGACACCAGUUUACAACCGCACCACAAACUCGAACAACUGUUAACAAUGGAUAUCUUGGUUCUU